rnacentral:rRNA from 1 species
AGGGCACAGGGCGGAUGCCUUGGCACUAAGAGCCGAUGAAAGACGUGAUAAGCUGCGAUAAGCUUCGGGGAGGAGCAAAUAUCCCGUGAUCCGGAGAUGUCUGAAUGGGGAAACCCACAUGAGCAAACCUCAUGUAUCCUACAGCCAAUACAUAACUGUAGGAAGGGAACCCGGGGAACUGAAACAUCUAAGUACCCGGAGGAAAAGAAAGAAAACUCGAUUCCGUAAGUAGCGGCGAGCGAACGCGGAGGAGCCUAAACCGGAAUGCGUGCAUUCCGGGGUUACGGACUGCAUUUAAGAUUCUUUGAAGCUAACAGAACGGUUUUGGGAAAGCCGGCCGGAGAGGGUGAAAGCCCCGUACGUGAAAGCAGAGCUGACUGAGCAGGAUCCAGAGUACCACGAGACACGUGGAACCUUGUGGGAAAUCAGGGGGACCACCCCUAAGGCUAAAUACUGCUUAGUGACCGAUAGCGCAUAGUACUGUGAAGGAAAGGUGAAAAGGACCCCGGGAGGGGAGUGAAAGAGAACCUGAAACCCUGUGUCUACAAGCUGUGGAAGCACUUUAUAGGUGCGACCGAGUCAGUAGGAGUAGACCCGAAACCGGGUGAUCUAUCCAUGUCCAGGUUGAAGCUGCCGUAAGAGGUAGUGGAGGACCGAACCCACAUCCGUUGAAAAGGGUGGGGAUGAGGUGUGGAUAGGGGAGAAAUUCCAAUCGAACCCGGAGAUAGCUGGUUCUCCUCGAAAUAGCUUUAGGGCUAGCCUCGAUACAGAUUUGCGGAGGUAGAGCACUGAAUUUCCUAGGGGGCGUCAAAGCCUACCGAAGAAUAUCAAACUCCGAAUGCCGCGUAAUCGAUUAUCGGGAGUCAGACUGCACGAGAUAAGUUGGGCGGUCAAAAGGGAAAGAGCCCAGACCUUCAGUUAAGGUCCCCAAGUGCGCGUUAAGUGGAAAAGGAUGUGGGAUUUCGAAGACAACCAGGAUGUUGGCUCAGAAGCAGCCAUCCAUUCAAAGAGUGCGUAAUAGCUCACUGGUCGAGAGGUCCUGCGCCGAAAAUGUCCGGGGCUGAAACGCGCCACCGAAACUAAGGAACCGAAAGGUUGGUAGAGGAGCAUUGCAUGCGGGAAGAAGCAGUACCGUAAGGAGCUGUGGACUGCAUGGAAGAGAGAAUGCCGGAAUGAGUAGCGAGAAUAAGGUGAGAAUCCUUAUGGCCGAAUAUCCAAGGUUUCCAGAGUAAAGCUGAUCUGCUCUGGGUAAGUCGGGGCCUAAGGCGAGGACGAGAGUCGUAGCCGAUGGACAACAGGUGGAGAUUCCUGUACUGCGGUAUGACAGAACUGUGGGGACACGUAAGGAAAGCGGAAGCCGGGAAUGGAAAGCCCGGUGCAAGCGGGGUACCAGUCACUUUGGCAAAUCCGGGUGGCAAUGGGAAGCCGUGAUGCGGAGCGAAAUAAAGUAGCGAAGUCCGUGAGCCAUGCGUCAAGAAAAGCCGCUAUUGUUUAUACCGUACCCGUACCGUAAACCGACACAGGUGGAUGAGGAGAGAAUCCUAAGGCCGGCGGAAGAAGCAUUGUCAAGGAACUCGGCAAAAUGGCCCCGUAACUUAGGGAUAAGGGGUGCCUGGGAAACCAGGCCGCAGAGAAUAGGCUCAAGCAACUGUUUAGCAAAAACACAGGUCUAUGCGAAACCGAAAGGUGAGGUAUAUGGGCUGACGCCUGCCCGGUGCUGGAAGGUUAAGAGGAGAGGUUAGCGGUAACGCGAAGCUUUGAAUUUAAGCCCCAGUAAACGGCGGCCGUAACUAUAACGGUCCUAAGGUAGCGAAAUUCCUUGUCGGGUAAGUUCCGACCCGCACGAAAGGCGUAAUGAUUUGAGCGCUGUCUCGACAAUGCAUCCGGUGAAAUUGAAGUACCAGUGAAGAUGCUGGUUACCUGCGCCAGGACGGAAAGACCCCAUGGAGCUUUACUCCAGUCUGGUACUGGGACUCGGUAUUGCAUGUACAGGAUAGGUGGGAGGCUAGGAGAUGGUAACGCCAGUUGCCAUGGAGCCGCUGUUGGGAUACCACCCUUGCAGUAUUGGGUUUCUAACCAGCCGCCGUGACCCGGCGGUGGGACAAUGCCAGACGGGGAGUUUGACUGGGGCGGUCGCCUCCGAAAGGGUAUCGGAGGCGCCCAAAGGUUCCCUCAGAAUGGACGGAAACCAUUCGAAGAGUGCAAAGGCAGAAGGGAGCUUGACUGCGACACCGACGGGUGGAGCAGGUACGAAAGUAGGGCUUAGUGAUCCGGUGGUAUUAAGUGGGAAUGCCAUCGCUCAACGGAUAAAAGCUACCCUGGGGAUAACAGGCUUAUCACUCCCAAGAGUUCACAUCGACGGAGUGGUUUGGCACCUCGAUGUCGGCUCAUCGCAUCCUGGGGCUGUAGUA